rnacentral:rRNA from 1 species
AUGCAAGGAGAAGAAAUGAGGUUCAGAGAAGAAGAAGUAGCAGCAAGAGAUGGAGAAGGAGCAAGGCAAGGGAAGAAGGACAGCAGGGAAGAGCAUCAGCAGAAGGGACAAGGGGAGGAGCAGCGGCAGUUGGAGAAGAAGAGCAGCAUCACAGGGGCGCGAGGUGCGGGGAAGCGCUGUGAUGCUGGUGAGUGGUGCUGGUGGAUGGAGAUGGGUGAUGUGGUGGGAGGUGCUGGUGGCUGGGAGGCGCACGGUGGAUGGAUGGCUGAGGUGGCGGAGUGGAGUGGUGCAGGUGGAUGGGAGGCGCACCACCACGGCGGCCUGGCCGUGGCGGCGGCCGGAGGUGGAGAAGGAGGAUGGGGGAGAAGAGAGAUGUGCCAGGCGCAAUGGGGAUUAGCUGCCGCUAGGGAUUUUGACCCCUCCUCUGAUCUGCCACUUUGCAUUUUUGGCCCUUCUCCUUUUCUUCUUUCUUCAUAA